GACGAACGCUGGCGGCGUGCCUAAUACAUGCAAGUCGAGCGGAUUUUACGCUUCCUUCGGGAAGCGUAGAGUUAGCGGCGGACGGGUGAGUAACACGUAGGCAACCUGCCUGCAAGACCGGGAUAACAAUCGGAAACGAUUGCUAAUACCGGAUACGCGAUUUUCUCGCAUGGGAGAAUCGGGAAAGACGGUUUCGGCUGUCACUUGCAGAUGGGCCUGCGGCGCAUUAGCUAGUUGGUGGGGUAACGGCUCACCAAGGCGACGAUGCGUAGCCGACCUGAGAGGGUGAUCGGCCACACUGGGACUGAGACACGGCCCAGACUCCUACGGGAGGCAGCAGUAGGGAAUCUUCCGCAAUGGACGCAAGUCUGACGGAGCAACGCCGCGUGAGUGAUGAAGGUUUUCGGAUCGUAAAGCUCUGUUGCCAGGGAAGAACGGGUGGAGGAGUAACUGCCUUCACCAUGACGGUACCUGAGAAGAAAGCCCCGGCUAACUACGUGCCAGCAGCCGCGGUAACAC
rnacentral:rRNA from 1 species